GGGGUGGGAACGCAAGCGCCCGCCUCUCUCGCUGCCCCUCCCCAGCAAAUCCAGCGCCCUGCACUGGGCCAAGCGGAACCGCAAGCCCCGCUGCUGCAGCGCUGGCUGCGUGACACGCACCGCACCCGAGUGUCCGGGCCUCCCUCUCCUUCCUUGUGAGCCGCGAGGUGAUGCAAGCAGAACAGGGCACACGAACAUAUCUCACAACCUGCCUGACAUGGAGGCAGAGCGAGAAGGCGUGGGGCUGCUGCUCCGAGGCACAGGUUGUGCAUUGGCCUCCCUCGCAAUGGCUGAGGUCACCGGGAAUUUAAAGCAUUUUGCUAUAGGCAAGCAAGACAUGGACACUAAGGAAACAGGACAUAAAAGAGGCUUUCUGAUUUCACUUGGCUGAAGGACUGAGCCACUGAAGAUCUGCCUAAUGAGGCUGACAACGUAAAGGGGGUGUCAGGAGAAAAAAAAGACUGCAGCACCAGACCCACCCAACAGGAGGCACUCACAAAGAGAAAAUAAAAGAUGCCCCCAAAGAAGCUUUCAGGAGCUCAGGAUAGGAAGCAAAAAGCUCAAUAGCAAUCUAGUUUUCAGUAAGGGGAAAAUUAGAUGGGAAAAUAUCUGAAACAGCAUAACACAGACCGGGCUUUCGGCAAUAGCAAUCGUCCCAGUGCGGAAGAAAUUGAGGAGCAGCGUGUAAAUGAUGGAAAUCCUACUACUAAGGAAUUAGCAGAUUUACCUGAAGAUAAAGGAAUGGAAGUGUGAGGAAAGUGAUGGAGAAUCAAUCGUCCAGUGUUCCUAGUGGUGUAAAAGAGAGUGAUGAUAAAGAAGAAUGUGAGUCACAUGAAAAGAAGAGUAUUGGCAAAGAAAAAUCUGGUUUUCGUGAAAAGGAGAGAAAUGAUAAAGAAAAAUCAGCCUCACAUGAUCAGAGAAACAGCAGUGAGAAAAAUUGCACACCACAAAUCAAUAUAUCAGAUCUUGCUUUAUGGCCGGUGAUCCUAAACUCUGCCAAUACCGAUCAUACAAUUUUGAAUUCACUGGACAAAAUUGAGGAUAUGACGUUUCCUGUAAAUGAGCAGAAACAACACUUCUCAAAGUCACACUGUGAAAGAGUGCUUGAGGAUGGCGAGAAACUGAAUUGGCUUUGGCUAGUUUACUCGAAAUCAACCGAUAAAGUGUUCUGGUUUUGUUGAAAAAUAUUUUACAAGAAUGCCAAAUCAUUGCUUGCGCUUUCUGGGUACAAUUACUGGCAUAGCUUACCUGGUGCUCUGCAACAUAAAAAAAAAAAAAAAA